CUGCAUCCCAGUUGGGUAACCGUGGGAGUCUAUUAGCUAAUACGUGCACGGCAUGUGGUGUGUCUUCUUAUACACCAAAGCAUUUAUUAUACUAAACCAUCUACCAUAACUUCGGCGUAGUAACGGGAAUCUGGAAGGCUGUGCUGAUCGUAUGGCCUAGUGCCGGCGACGUUUCAAUUGAGUUUCUGCCCUAUCAACUUGUUGGUAAGGUAUUGGCUUACCAAGGUUGCAACGGGUAACGGGGAAUCAGGGUUCGAUUCCGGAGAGGGAGCCUGAGAAACGGCUACCACAUCCAAGGAAGGCAACAGGCGCGCAAAUUACCCAAUCUAGACAGUAGGAGGUGGUGAAGAGAAUUACUAAAUGGUGGUCUAACAGAUCACUCGCUUGGAAUGAACGUAACUUAAGAAAUUCGAUGAGAAACAACUGGAGGGCAAGUCCUGGUGCCAGCAGCCGCGGUAAUUCCAGCUCCAGUAGUUUGCUUUAAAGUUGUUGCGUUUAAAACGCUCGUAGUUGGAUCACGCAGCGGUGGUGAGUAAUCUUUUGCGACGGGAUGGUGAAUGAGCCCGUUUUGCGACGGCCAUGAAUCAAACUAAGCAAAAGGUAAAAAUGCUGAUCAUCGCUAGUUGCACGUGAGAUAGAUUGUUGGCCUUUGAUGUGCCGAUAUUCUGGUCUUGCGGGAGUGUGCCUUGAAUAAAACAGAGUGCUU
rnacentral:rRNA from 1 species